ACGAACGCUGGCGGCAUGCCUAACACAUGCAAGUCGAACGAGACCUUCGGGUCUAGUGGCGCACGGGUGCGUAACGCGUGGGAACCUGCCCUUAGGUUCGGGAUAACUCCCCGAAAGGGGUGCUAAUACCGGAUAAUGUCUUCGGACCAAAGAUUUAUCGCCUUUGGAUGGGCCCGCGUUGGAUUAGCUAGUUGGUAGGGUAAAAGCCUACCAAGGCGACGAUCCAUAGCUGGUCUGAGAGGAUGAUCAGCCACACUGGGACUGAGACACGGCCCAGACUCCUACGGGAGGCAGCAGUGGGGAAUAUUGGACAAUGGGCGAAAGCCUGAUCCAGCAAUGCCGCGUGAGUGAUGAAGGCCUUAGGGUUGUAAAGCUCUUUUACCCGGGAUGAUAAUGACAGUACCGGGAGAAUAAGCUCCGGCUAACUCCGAG
rnacentral:rRNA from 1 species